AAACCAGCACCUCAAGUGGUCAGGAGGAUUAUUGGGCCUAAAGCAUCCGUAGCCUGCUGCAUAAGUUUUCGGUUAAAUCCAUACGCUCAACGUAUGGGCUGCCGGGAAUACUGUGCAGCUAGGGAGUGGGAGAGGUAGACGGUACUCGGUAGGAAGGGGUAAAAUCCUUUGAUCUAUUGAUGACCACCUGUGGCGAAGGCGGUCUACCAGAACACGUUCGACGGUGAGGGAUGAAAGCUGGGGGAGCAAACCGGAUUAGAAACCCCAGUAGUCC
rnacentral:rRNA from 1 species